rnacentral:lncRNA from 1 species
UUCUUUUGCUUCAAUUCCCAGUAAGGUAUGGAUAUAAUUUUUCUAUUUCUAUAGUUUUGAAUCCAAAGCACAGAGCAGGACAUAAAGAACAACCCUUCCAAUAUUCAGCUCCCACUGAAGUGUCUUAGGGUGAAGACAGGGGUACCAUCUAUGAUCCCAAACCAAGAGCAGGUCAUCACCUCUCUGAAUUAGGUGCUGGAGGCCAGCAAGGAACACUCACAGAUCUAAGACACCACAAGGAUAUCUUUGAGCAAUAAAAUCCUUUUAAAAAAAUGUUUAUUCACUUUAUCUGUGGAUACAAGGAGUUUCUUUGGUCAACUCUGCAGUAGGUUUUGGAAUCUGUUUCUGGUUUGUCAGUGUUAUGCUCAAAUCACCAAGCAGUCUCCAAGGUUCAUCUUGAUAGAGCAGUUUCUGGAAUACUCUGGCAAUUAAAAUCAGAGAAGCAGUCAAGAAGGAUGGAAAUAUUUUCCAGUGUUGACUAAAAGCAAGCAGUAAGCUUGAAGCAUUACUUAACAAUGUAAUGAGAAACGUCAGCUCAAGCAAAUACUUAUUUUUUUUAACAGAAUUUGUUUUCUUUGUUGUGUUGCAGAAGAAGGAGCAGUGGCUGAGUUGCACGAGUGAACCAGGACAACGCAAAAUAAAGUCAAAAAGGAACGCUCAUUUUCCUAUUUCCUUGUGGUGACAUCUUCUGGAUGCUGAGCACUGGGAAAAUUUCACCUGUUCUUUGAGCAGUUGAUUGAAAGUUGAAUUUUUCUGUGGUAUGGUCCACAGUCAGUGUUGUUGGAACAAGACAAACCAGUCCAAAUUUGCUGUCGCCCAGUCUUGUUGUCUCAACUGUCACAAAAUAUUUGCUUUUCAAAGGGCUUUAAAAACAUAACGAUGCAAAUUUGACCUGUAUUUAUACCAGCGUGUUUGGAGGAAGCCCAUCAAACGAUUUCCAUGCUGUUUUCAGUGUCUCUCCACUUUAUUAUUCUGAGAAAAUUUGACACAUCUGCAGCGUGCACGAUCUGGUUUCCUGAUAUGCAGAUGCGCAGCCUCGCCUAUCUCGUGGAAUCAGUGUAGCAGCCGCUCUUACAAACGCUGUGACAAUGUACAGCCUCCUAUCUGAGAUCCAGAUCAGCCUGAAGUCG